GCUUAUUCCACCAUAGUCACAUCUCCCCUGGACACAUGAAAGUAGGGUUUAGAGGUCGGACACUUACAUGGCUGCAUUCUUCAUCCGAUAGGAAACUACAGGGGUAUUUGGGGUAUUCAUGAGCUGUAAGCCAUAAUCAUCGCACUUAUGACAAAUCACGGCUUGAACUAUCUUGCUUUGCAUGUAAUGCGCCUAUCUCAUAUAUUAGUUUCCCCUUUUACGUUGCAUUACUGAAAUAAAUGAACUUUUGUACGAUAUUCUAAUUUUUCGAGUAUCACCUGCAUGUAAAGACAGA